rnacentral:rRNA from 1 species
GGAAGUAAAAGUCGUAACAAGGUUUCCGUAGGUGAACCUGCGGAAGGAUCAUUACUUUCAGUACUUUGGGGGCUGUCAGUCUAUAUCACUAUAGCAAGCCUCCGUCUGAAACCCUUGUCUUUUGCGUACCUUAUGUUUCCUCGGCGGGCUCGCCCGCCGGUUGGACAACCUUAAAACCUUUUUAAUUUUCAAUCAGCGUCUGAAAAAACUUAAUAAUUACAACUUUCAACAACGGAUCUCUUGGUUCUGGCAUCGAUGAAGAACGCAGCGAAAUGCGAUAAGUAGUGUGAAUUGCAGAAUUCAGUGAAUCAUCGAAUCUUUGAACGCACAUUGCGCCCCUUGGUAUUCCAUGGGGCAUGCCUGUUCGAGCGUCAUUUGUACCCUCAAGCUAUGCUUGGUGUUGGGUGUUUGUCCUCUCCUUUUGCGAUUGGACUCGCCUCAAAGACAUUGGCAGCCAGUGUAUUGGUCUUGAAGCGCAGCACAUUUUGCGAUUCUUGCUGAUAAUCACUAGCAUCCAGUAAGCCUCUUUAUCACUUUUGACCUCGGAUCAGGUAGGGAUACCCGCUGAACUUAAGCAUAUCAAUAAGCGGAGGA